ACUAUAUUUGUUAUUUACUCUUAUUUACUCCAACGCAAGGAAAUAAAUAACUGAAAAUUUGGAACGCCGUCACUGCAUGAUUGCUGAGUAAACCUUUGUUUUCACAUAGCAAUAUUCCUUGUGUAGCAGGUGAGACAGAUUGCUCCUGAAAUACAAUGAAGUUUUUCUUUUCUUCUCCGUUCCCUUUUCAAAUGUGUAGACUUAAAAAUAUCUAACUCAUUAGCAAAAUGAGUUUAUUUUAAUUACACAGUUGAGACUUCUUAUAGCUCCAUCAGUCGUAUUUCUCCAUCUGGUUUAUUAUCUUAUUUCAUAUCAAGUUUCUGUGACUUUUCCUAUCACCAGAGUCAAAUUUUCUAAUCUGUAACUCCUCUUUUUCUUGGUAAUUAAUGUUGGCUUUCUUGAAUUCAGAAGGGUCCUCCCUGUCUCCAAGGAUCUACCAUAAAUCCUACCCAUGAACAACUUCCGCUGUUUUAUUCAAGAUGUUUCUCUGUAACUUGUCAUCUAUGCUGUCUCAAAUUCUGGAGCUUAUCUUUUAACAACCAUACUGUUUUACCAGAACCCUUAAACAAGCAUGCAUUAUAGCAUCAUUGGUUGCAUCUAAUGCUUCAGGAAAACUAUAUUUCCACUCCUUACAAUGAUGUUCUUCCCAGAAAUUUUCCUAGGUUUCAUUUUUUUUUUAAUGCUCCUUUAGAAGUGAACUCACAGGUUCCAUCUAUCGCUUUAGUUUUCUGUUGAAAAAAACUCACGUUCUUUGAUAUUUGGUACAAUUUUUCUUUUCCUGACUGUCAUAAUUUCUCAGUCUAAUGUUGUUCUCCUCAAAUAUUCCACAUCCCCCUGGACUAUUUUGUGUUGGCCAUGUUCAUACAAGUCAACUGUUUCCAAUCCUACUUUAUGGACACAGAACAUUUCCUUCCUUCAUUCCUUGAAAGCUGUUCAUGAAAAUGUUGGAGAUAAACAGCAGGGUCAUCUGAUGAGUCACUGUAUUUGGCACCUACUGCCUGGCUUUUUCUUUGUCCCGAAAAUCUUUGGUAAAACACACUGGCUUAAAGAGGAGGAGCAGGAACCGCUCUGGAAUCAUCAAUGCAACUCCACCACGAACUGACUACUUCUAUUCCUUGACUUGGACUCUGAAAAAAAAAUCCCAGAAUGUUAACCUUCUUUACAUUCUAUGCCAGUCCCAGCCCUCAUAGCAGCUGCUCCCCCAAUUCAAUUUCUAUGUGCUUGUGCAUAUGUCAGCCCUGGCUCUAAUUUCCCAUUUCCCAGGCACCAUCCCUUGAAUGUCUACUUUCAGUUUUCCUCCUACUCAAUUAAACCUUACCCUCAAGAACCCCUGAGCCUUCAACAAUGUCCCAAGCCUGCUGUAUUUCUUUGGAUUACUUCCUUUCUCCUCCCAAACCAGUGGGUGGCUCUCAUCUUAGUCAUCUUUCUUCAAUCCAAUAGCUAGGUCAUAUUUUGCAAGGUCAGCUAUAUCCCUGUGUAGAUCUGUCCUCAGUGUAGAUUCUAGAGUGGUGGUACCUAAACCUGGCUGCUCAUCAGGACCUUAUGGGCAGCCUGGUAAGAUUAAGGGGAGAGAGAAAGAAAUUGAGGGAAAGACAGUGAGCUAGCUAGGUAGCCAGACAGAGAUUUUUAUCAGGUUUAGCUCUAGUUAAUCAAUUUUAAAGCCCAAUAUCAGACUUUUUAUACUCUGAGUCUGAUUGUUAAUUUUGCUCUAUCUCUUUAGAAACAGUAUCUUUUGAAAUAAAAUUUUCAAGCGAAAUGCAUGAUAUAUUUUCUGUAGUUGGAGAUAUCUCUCUACUCUCAUCAGAAAUGAACAUAUGAAAGAUCUUGGAUGGAUAUACUGAAAUGUUCAAUCUUUUCUUUCUCCUCCAGGACAAUGAUAAUCAUUCCACUUUAUUUCUAAAAUUGUCAUUAAAAUAGAGAAAUGGAGGACAGCCUGAUUUAUAUGACUGUGACACCCUCUAUUGGUGUAUUGCCAAUGGAGAUGGCCCGGAGUCUUUGUAAUUUUGAACCAAGGAAAUAAUAAAAAGCCAUGAUAAACAUCUGCUGGCAGGUUCCCAUUGUCAACCCUCUCCUACAACACUUUAUUUGAAAGAAAUAGUCCUUCCAACGUAUGCAGAGCCUAUUUUCCUUGCUGCCUAAUUGUUCUGAGAUGCUGAAAAAUGGUAACUGUGAGAAGGCAUAUCCUGUUGAACAGAGGUCUGAUUGCCUCAAAGACGAGCAACAGUGAAUGAUAUAAAAUAAAAGUUGUGUUUUAUUUCACGUAUUUUGGUACAACUCUUGGUUCUGGAGAAGGUAAAUUGAGUCUUCCUUUUUAAAAAAGUACUUCUUUAGUUUCAAGAAACAAAAGGAAAUUGUAGCAUAAGAGGAAAAAU
rnacentral:lncRNA from 1 species